rnacentral:rRNA from 1 species
ACUCCUACGGGAGGCAGCAGUGGGGAAUAUUGCACAAUGGGCGCAAGCCUGAUGCAGCCAUGCCGCGUGUGUGAAGAAGGCCUCGGUUGUAAAGCACUUUCAGCAGUGAGGAAGGCGGGUAGUGUUAAUAGCAUAUUCGUUUGUACGUUAGCUGCAGAAGAAGCACCGGCUAACUCCGUGCCAGCAGCCGCGGUAAUACGGAGGGUGCGAGCGUUAAUCGGAAUUACUGGGCGUAAAGCGCAUGCAGGUGGUUUGUUAAGUUCAGAUGUGAAAGCCCGGGGCGUCAACCUCGGAAUAGCAUUUGAAACUGGCAGACUAGAGUACUGUAGAGGGGGUA